rnacentral:rRNA from 1 species
GACUCUCGGCAACGGAUAUCUCGGCUCUCGCCACGAUGAAGAAUGUAGCGAAAUGCGAUACUUAGUGUGAAUUGCAGAAUCCCGUGAAUCAUCGAGUCUUUGAACGCAAGUUGCGCCCGAGGCCUCGGCCAAGGGCACGUCUGCUUGGGCGUCGCACUCCAA